GUGCUCAUUUUAACAGCACGUAUAUUAAAACUGAAACAAUACAAAGAAGAUUAGCAUGGCCCCUGUGCAAAUUCAUGAAAUAGUCUAUAUUUUU
rnacentral:snRNA from 1 species